AUGAACGCUGGCGGCGUGCCUCAUACAUGCCCGUCGAGCGAACAGAUGAGGAGCUUGCUCCUCUGACGUUAGCGGCGGACGGGUGAGUAACACGUGGAUAACCUACCUAUAAGACUGGGAUAACUUCGGGAAACCGGAGCUAAUACCGGAUAAUAUAUUGAACCGCAUGGUUCAAUAGUGAAAGACGGUUUUGCUGUCACUUAUAGAUGGAUCCGCGCCGCAUUAGCUAGUUGGUAAGGUAACGGCUUACCAAGGCAACGAUGCGUAGCCGACCUGAGAGGGUGAUCGGCCACACUGGAACUGAGACACGGUCCAGACUCCUACGGGAGGCAGCAGUAGGGAAUCUUCCGCAAUGGGCGAAAGCCUGACGGAGCAACGCCGCGUGAGUGAUGAAGGUCUUCGGAUCGUAAAACUCUGUUAUUAGGGAAGAACAAAUGUGUAAGUAACUAUGCACGUCUUGACGGUACCUAAUCAGAAAGCCACGGCUAACUACGUG
rnacentral:rRNA from 1 species